ensembl:lncRNA
CCUAUUUUUGGGUGCGUAAACCAAACCUUAAACAGGCAUUGGUUGGUUUAAUGAGGCUGGUUAAAGGUGUAGUGGUUGGUUUAAUGAGGCUGGUUAAAGGUGUAGUGGUUGGUGAUAUAAGGCUGGUUAAAGGUGUAGUGGUUGGGGAUAUAAGGCUGGUUAAAGGUCUAGUGGUUGGUUUAAUGAGGCUGGUUAAAGGUGUGUAGUGCUUGGCGUUUCAAGGCGUUUUCUCCGCUCCCAGGGACCUCCUGAAGUGGUGCGAGAGGAUCAGCAGCGACUUCGACAGCUCCUCCUCUGCCACGGCUCAGCGCGUCUUCCAGGAGGCCCUGGACUGCUUCACGGCGAUGCUGUCCCGCUCGGACAGCCGGCUGCGGAUGGCCGAGGUCAUCGGGAGGA